AAAUUUGUUUUUAGUAUUAUAUUGUGGCUAAUGAAGGAGUUAAAAAGUCCUUCCAGUCAGUUGCAACAACAAUUAAAGCAGCAGGAAACAGCCAAGUACACAUGCAAGUGAUUGUUAUGAGGAUUGCAAAACUUUUAAAUAUCAGAAACUGAAGAAAGCAUUGAUAAUCAGCAGAUAUCAAAAAAGCGCAAAAGUACUGAUUAUACAACUCUUUUAAAGUUGAGGAAGAAUUUUAUGUUAUUGUUAAUGCAAAAGGUACGAAUAUUGACAGGUUAGCUAAUUUGAUGUUACAAUAAAUAUGAAAUAAAGUUUGUGAAGACCUUAGUGCCAAAAAUACUUGCAUGCAUUAUUCAUGCAUGCUGUAUUAUAAUAUAGCAUGCAUGCAUGAUGC
rnacentral:lncRNA from 1 species